UAAAGCACUGAAUUGGCUAGGGGCCGAGAGGUUACUGAACCUUAUCAAACUAAGAAUGCCGGAUAAUCGUUUUUCAGGAGUCAGACAGUGGGAGAUAAGUUUCAUUGUCAAAAGGGAAACAGCCCAGACCCACAGCUAAGGUCCCCAAGUAUAGUUAAGUGGAAAAGGAUGUGGAAUUGCACAGACAACCAGGAUGUUGGCUUAGAAGCAGCCACUCAUUAAAAGAGUGCGUAAUAGCUCACUGGUCGAGUGACUCUGCGCCGAAAAUUCAACGGGGCUAAACUAUACACCGAAGCUUGGGAUACAUCUAAUGUAUGGUAGGAGAGCGUUCUGUAUGGGGAGAAGUCGUAGCGAAAGCGGCGGUGGACUAUACAGAAGUGAGAAUGCCGGAAUAAGUAGCGAGAAUUAAGUGAGAAUCUUAAUGGCCGAAAGUCUAAGGUUUUUGGAGGAAGGUUCGUCCGCUCCAAGUAAGUCGGGAGCUAAGGUCAGGCCGAAAGGCGUAGCCGAUGCACAUACGGUUGAUAUUCCGUAACCAUCUGUAAUUUAAGCAAAGGGACACUUCAAAAGGGUGUGACCCGGGCGUUGGUUGACCCGGGCGUAAGGGACCGAAAUUAGAGUAGGGAAGCACACUUAGCUGAAGGCGAGAAAAGCUUUGCGUAUAGAAACAGAUGCCCGUACCGCAAACCGACACAGGUGGACAGGAAGAGAAUUCUAAGGCCAGCGGGAGAAGGGUAGUUAAGGAACUCGGCAAAUUGACUCCGUAACUUCGGAAUAAGGAGUGCUCGAAAGAGCCGCAGAGAAUAGGCCCAGGCGACUGUUUAGCAAAAACACAGGUCUCUGCCAAAUCGAAAGAUGAAGUAUAGGGGCUGACACCUGCCCGGUGCCGGAAGGUUAAGAGGAGGAGUGAGAGCUCCGAAUUGAAGCCCCGGUAAACGGCGGCCGUAACUAUAACGGUCCUAAGGUAGCGAAAUUCCUUGUCGGGUAAGUUCCGACCCGCACGAAUGGUGUAACGAUCUGGGCACUGUCUCAACUACCCACCCGGCGAAAUUGUAGUACCGGUGAAGAUGCCGGUUACCUGCGGCAAGACGGAAAGACCCCAUGGAGCUUUACUGUAGCCUGAUAUUGGGUUUCGGAAAUCUAUGUACAGGAUAGGCGGGAGACUGGGAAACAUGAGCGUCAGCUUGUGUGGAGUCGAUGUUGGGAUACCGCCCUUAGGUUUCUGGAAUUCUAACCUGCGGCCGUGAAUCCGGUCGGGGGACAUUGUCAGGUGGGCAGUUUGACUGGGGCGGUCGCCUCCGAAAAGGUAACGGAGGCGCUCAAAGGUUAGCUCAGCACGGACGGAAACCGUGCCUCUGAGUGUAAACGCAAAAGCUAGCCUAACUGCGAGGGUGACGGCCCGAGCAGUAACGAAAGUUGGAGUUAGUGAUCCGGCGGUAU
rnacentral:rRNA from 1 species